rnacentral:rRNA from 1 species
UACGUAGGGUGCAAGCGUUAAUCGGAAUUACUGGGCGUAAAGCGUGCGCAGGCGGUUUUGUAAGUCUGACGUGAAAUCCCCGGGCUCAACCUGGGAAUUGCGUUGGAGACUGCAAGGCUGGAGUCUGGCAGAGGGGGGUAGAAUUCCACGUGUAGCAGUGAAAUGCGUAGAGAUGUGGAGGAACACCGAUGGCGAAGGCAGCCCCCCUGGAUCAAGACUGACGCUCAUGCACGAAAGCGUGGGGAGCAAACAGGAUUAGAAACCCCACGUUGAGUC